AGUCAAUAGAUACCCCGGUAGUCCACGCGUAAACGAUGUCGACUUGGAGGUUGUGCCCUUGAGGCGUGGCUUCCGGAGCUAAACGCGUUAAGUCGACCGCCUGGGGAGUACGGCCGCAAGGUUAAAACUCAAAUGAAUUGACGGGGGCCCGCACAAGCGGUGGAGCAUGUGGUUUAAUUCGAUGCAACGCGAAGAACCUUACCUACUCUUGACAUCCAGAGAACUUUCCAGAGAUGGAUUGGUGCCUUCGGGAACUCUGAGACAGGUGCUGCAUGGCUGUCGUCAGCUCGUGUUGUGAAAUGUUGGGUUAAGUCCCGCAACGAGCGCGACCCUUAUCCUUUGUUGCCAGCGGUUAGGCCGGGAACUCAAAGGAGACUGCCAGUGAUAAACUGGAGGAAGGUGGGGAUGACGUCAAGUCAUCAUGGCCCUUACGAGUAGGGCUACACACGUGCUACAAUGGCGCAUACAAAGAGAAGCGACCUCGCGAGAGCAAGCGGACCUCAUAAAGUGCGUCGUAGUCCGG
rnacentral:rRNA from 1 species